UCGAGGAUCUUCGGCAAUGGGCGCAAGCCUGACCGAGCGACGCCGCGUGGAUGAUGAAGGCCUUCGGGUUGUAAAAUCCUGUCGAGGGGGAUCAAGGCGCAAGCUUGAGUGAUCCCUGGAGGAAGCACGGGCUAAGUUCGUGCCAGCAGCCGCGGUAAGACGAACCGUGCAAACGUUAUUCGGAAUCACUGGGCAUAAAGGGCGCGUAGGCGGCUUUCUAAGUCAGGGGUGAAAUCCGGCAGCUCAACUGUCGCAGUGCCUUUGAUACUGGAGAGCUCGAGGGAGGUAGGGGUCUGUGGAACUUCCGGUGGAGCGGUGAAAUGCGUUGAUAUCGGAAGGAACGCCGGUGGCGAAAGCGACGGACUGGAUCUCUUCUGACGCUGAGGCGCGAAAGCCAGGGGAGCAAACGG
rnacentral:rRNA from 1 species